rnacentral:lncRNA from 10 species
CCUCUGGGUGAUAGAGCGAGAAGACCCUGUCUCCAAAACACAAACACACAAACAAACAAAAAGGGUUUGGAACGAACAGACCAGGGGGCUCCCUCUUCCAGCCUCUGAUCGCCUCCCAUCUCCUUUCCACUUGAGCCUCCAAGACCAUCUUCUUGGCAACCUCCUGCUUCUGGGCCCAGCCAACACCGUUUUUGUGGUUAUCUGCUUCUUGUCCCCAAGCAUGAGCUCCCAGAUGUGUCAGAAUCAUUCCACCCAGGCGGAGGCAACCACUAACUGCCUGGUCAACUGGCAUCUCUCUGGGCUUCUACUUCAGCCGUGACGAUGUGGCUCUGGAAGGUGAACUGGCCAAGCGUCUCUGGAAGAUGCAAAGCCAGCAUGGCAGCCCGCUCUUCUGCAGGACCUGCAGAUGAGAUGAGUGGGAUAAAACCCUGGAUGCCGCGGGGGCAGCCUUGGCCCUGGAGAGGAGCCUGAACCAGCCUAUUCUGGGUCUUCACGCCCUGGGUUCUGCUGGCACAGACCUCAUCUCUGGGACUUCCUAGAGAGGCCUUUCCUAGAUGUGGGAGUGAAACUCGUCAAGAGAGUGGAUGAUCGCCUGACCUCUGCGGGCUGGCCGCCCGGAGCUGGGUCAAGCAACUGUCUUUUCCAAAGUCUUGCCACCCUCAAGCACGACUGGGAGCCUAGCGAGCCCAGCGACCUCUGAGAGGCUCCUCUCAAACGAUCAGGGUUUCUGCCUGCCUGAGCCUCCCCCUCCAGCCACUAGGCAGCUUUUUAACACCCUGGAGCCCUCUCCCAAGCCUGGACCAAAUUUGCAGGGACAAAAGCGGGGCAGGGGCUGGGGUGGGGAAAUCAAAUUAAUGACCUUCUUAGGGUAAAGAUGUUUCAGGAAGAGGAAACCUGCCAUCCCACAACCCCUAGACCAUAAUAGCAUUUAUUCCUUCCAGGGAUCAACAAACCAGUGACAGAGAGACUCUGGAGCCAUUGAAAUCUACUGAUUGAGGCCAGGCACGGUGGCUCACGCCUGUAAUCCCAGCACUUUGGGAGGCCAAGGCGGGAGGAUCACAAGGUCAGGAGUUGGAGACCAGACUGGCCAACAUAGCAAAACCCCAUCUCUACUAAAAAUACAAAAAAAAAAUUAGCCAGACGUGGUGGCAGGUGCCUGUAAUCCCAGCUAUUCAGGAGGCUGAGGCAGGAGAACCACUUGAACCUGGGAGGCAGAGGUUGCAGUGAGCCGAGAUCGUGCCAUUGUACUUCAGCCUAGGCGAUAAGAGCAAGACUCCAUCUCAAAAAAAAAAAAAGAAAAAUCUACUGAUUAAUGCCUAUCUUAACUCCAGUGUCAAUAGUAGCUUUGACAAACGCCUUUUAUAUCAUGUGGCUAUACUUUGCCAAGCAUACUGAGCACUAUUAUAAUUGUUUCCUAAUACCCCAUGUGAUACCCCCAUGCUUCAUACGUUUAUAACACAUUUAAAAAUAGCAUGACGCCAGGGGCGGUGGCUCACGCCUGUAAUCCCAGCCCUUUGGGAGGCUGAGGCGGGCAGAUCGCCUGAGGUCAGGAAUUCAAGACCAGCCUGGCCAACAUAGUGAAACCCUGUCUCUACUAAAAAUGCAAAGAAUUAGCUGGGCGUGGGCCGGGCGCGGUGGCUGACACCUGUAAUUCCAGCACUUUGGGAGGCCUAGGCAGGCGGAUCACCUGAGGUUGGGAGUUCGAGACCAGCCUGACCAACAUGGAGAAACCCCGUCUCUACUGAAAAUACAAAAUUUGCCAGGCAUGGUGGCCCAUGCCUGUAAUCCCAGCUAAUUGGGAGGCUGAGGCAGGAGAAUCGCUUGAACCCAGGAGGCAGAGGUUGCGGUGAACCGAGAUCGCAUCAAGGCACUCCAGCCUAGGUGACAAGAGCAAAACUCUGUCUCAAAAAAAAAAAAAAAAAAAUUAGCUGGGCAUGGUGGGCGGGAGCCUGUAAUCCCAGUUACUAGGGAGGCUGAGGCAGGAGAAUUGCUUGAACCCAGGAGGCGGAGGUUGUGGUGAGCCGAGAUCACGCCAUUGCACUCCAGCCUGGA